UAUGGAAGUGUUGUAUUUCAAUUCUCUGGGACCUUGUGACACCCUGACUGUGGGCUGUCACCAUAUGAUUUGUAACCUGGGCUUGGGCUCCGUGAUGGGCCAUGUGUUGCUUUUGUGUUGGCUGGCUAGGAUCAGUAUAAAUACUACACCUGUAACCCUGAUGUGGAGAGGUUGAAAAGGAAUAGAGUCUGAACUCCCUCGCCUCCUGUUCUCUGCUCCUCACCUUCCCGGUUCUCUGUUUUCUCAUCUCUUUUCACUGAUUUCUCAUCCCAAUCUCUUCUUCAAUCGUGGUAAUCCACCGUAUCCCCCUGUUCACCGUGCAUCCAUCCCAGGGACAUGACAAUUUGGUAUUCAGAGCCAAUAAAACCUACAAAACAAUCACCACCCUCCUUCCUGCCCACCAUCUGUUCAACGAUAUGUCGAGCCACCUAGAGAUGUUCAUGUGUCUGGAGCAUAUAGUCUGGUGAAAGAAUCUGCCAUGUGGAGGUGGUGGUUCGGCUUCGAUCAAGACACGGGGCAGCGCAGGCUCUCACCUUGCAUGACCGGUGCCACCAAGCAGCAUGACGAUGCUUGCAACCAUGGAACUACUACCUUCCCAGCUAGGGUGUGCAACUUGGAGGUCGCCCAUGUGGCCUUCUCUACUCCAGCACCCCACGCGACGACAAAUGUGGCAAAGUUCGCCAGAGUUGAGUGUGAAGCCAUUGGUGACGAAGAAGUUGCUGAACUUACCACACCCAUCAGCUGCUCAAGUUUGGGCAAGUCCACAAACAAAUCAAAGCAGAUACCAUGCACACGUCCAAGCUGCAUGCUAAUUGUUUGGUACCGCGUCCCAACUAUAAUAACUACAGCAACCAUGCCAGGGCCAUGCCUCCACUCGAGGGACGCGUUCCCGGCUGUUCAGGUGCCCACGAUGGUGUCGUAUCUACAUGUGCUGCAGUUGAUGGCUACUCCUAAGCUAGACACGCUGACCCUCAUGAGGAUUUCAACCUCAUACUUGGGUGCGGACAGAAAUGAAGCCAUGUCUGCACUUGAGCUGGAAUGUCGCCAUCUGGCACUACCAUACAUUUCUGUUCCUUUGGGUUGCAUUGACACAGAGGUGUACGCCAUUGUUCCUGUUGCGGCAUUGAUUGAGCUCAAACCAUGGCCGGAUCCACAACCAAGCCAAUGCAGUAGCAGCGUGGUGACUAGCUCGCCACAUUUUGAUGUAUGGGUUUGUCGGUCGAUUCCAGAGUACCAUCGUAAUCAGGCUGAGGUAUAUAAUCCACUGCUGUAAUAGGAAAGAAAUGGAAUUAGUCCAGGGAGCACUUUUGCCAAGUAUGGUCACACGCUAGAUUUAGUCAGUUUCCUGCCAGGGGAUCCUGGUUUACUGGGGAUUGUCAUUCUUUGGGAUCCUGAAAUUCAACUCCUUAUUUCUGUUAAUUGCUCAUGCAUGGUUUGCUUGAGGGGGUGCACUGGCAAGGAAGAAGAUUAUAUGUUGCAGGAACCCAUAUAUUUAUUCAAGGCAAAUGCCAAUUUUACGUAUUACAUGGCGGCCUUACUAUUGCCAAUGAUGAGUUUUCUGCUAGAAUUAGUUCUGCUGCACUCUUUGUUGCACAAGAUUCAGUGAUCCAUCAUUCUUAUGCUCAGUGCAAGAGGGCACACUUUUUUGUUAGCAACUACCAUGCAAAGCAUCUUGCGAAGAUCUUGAUCCAUUUGGUUUGCUGUUUGCAACUGUGCACAUCGGCUUCUUUUGCAUCUUCCAGCAUCUAUGGGAAGGCGGAUAAUUUUGUAAGAUGACCACAGAUUCCUUUAAAUGGUUCACACCCUGUUUUCGUUGAUGAUGGUCGGCUUGCUGUUCUGCAACGAGUUGGCUCAGUCGCUGCAAAUUUUGUACUGCUGCAUAUUAUACUUUCAAGUUUCAACUACCUUGGAAGUGCAAAUGCUGAAGAUGCAACAAAUCAACUGGCAGCUAUCAGUUUACUUGUUCUGCUUCUUCUGAUUCACUGCCAAAGGUGUUGUUCAAUGAAUGAAUCCAUUACAACCAACAGUAUACAUGGUACCAAUGUCAAGGAUGCAACAGCUUUUCAUGGGAACCCUUACUGUAACUCCAAAGCGCUAGAAAAUACCAAGGACAUUCAAUUUGAUCAUGCUGAUGUUAAGGGAAAUACUCAUAAUGGACCUGUUGUCAGGUUGUCUUUUGCAUCGCUGUUUGAUGCUCUUGGAAACAUAUUAGAUAUAAGGAUUUUGAAGUUCACCGUGAUUUAUCGCGGUCUGGACUGUGUGCAGUUAGAUGAGAACUACAUGAAGCUUCCUAUGGACAAUAUUGCUCGACCUUUGCUAGUAUUAUGCUUCUCUCUUUCAGGGCAGCCUGAUUAUGAUAUACAUGUACCGUCAUCAUCAGGUAUGUUCACCAUGAGGUUGUCUUUCAAUGGAGGUGAUGGUGUGGGAUGGUAGCACUUGAGUGUUCUGGAGAUGGUUCAGCUGGGCGCUUCUCCGUUCAGUUCAGUGUCUUCCUUCAACCCAGCCGAACUGAAAUUCAUGAACAACCUCAAGAUACCAUAGGAACUGCAGUCAUGUGACACCACCUCCAAACUACUACACGGUUGCUCGUUUCGUUGUUGCCUCGGCUACAGGCAAAGGAAAGGGUGCAGCACUUGCACAGGUCAGAGGUUUGGCAUUGAGUUGGAAGGUUUAAACACUAUCAAGCACACAUAUGGGGUGGAUUGCAAUUUCUUUCAUCAGCUUGUGAUUAGCACUCAGAUCAUCUCUAAGCACAUGUUGCUACCAUAUGAUCCAGGUGAGGCGGCGCUUUAACUCGACGAGAUUACAGGCAUUCCCAAUUCAAGGUUGUUCAUCGGCCUGAGGGCAAGCCGAAUUUCAAGGGAGGGAGAGACGGAGAGUGUGACACCCUGACUGUGGGCUGUCACCAUAUGAUUUGUAACCUGGGCUUGGGCUACGUGAUGGGGCGUGUGUUGCUUUUGUGUUGGCUGGCUAGGAUCAGUAUAAAUACUAGACAUGUAACCCUGAUGUGGAGAGGUUGAAAAGGAAUGGAGUCUGAACUCCCUCGCCUCCUGUUCUCUGUUCCUCACCUUCCUGGUUCUGUGUUUUCUCAUCCCUUUUCAUUGAAUUCUCCCCAAUCUCUUCCUCAAUCGUGGUAAUCCACCGUAUCCCCCUGUUCGUUGUGCCUCCAUCCCGGGGACGUGACAGACCUGUACAGAAAAUUAUGAAUAACGACAACACGCCGA
rnacentral:lncRNA from 1 species